UGCCCAGCAACUCCUAUCCCUACCUCCUCGCAGUACCGGCCGGAAGUUAUGAGCAACCUUAGGGAAGAUCGGGUAAUCAACCCCGGUGGGGACUUUGGUCGUAGGCUGACAGGGAAGG
rnacentral:ribozyme from 1 species